rfam:Myotis brandtii contig218879, whole genome shotgun sequence.
GAUUGUGAGAGGAUGACACACCCUGGAAUCAGGCUCCCUCCUCUCUGGUUCUGGGGUCUGUCACCACUGCC